GAUGAAGAACGCAGUGAAAUGCGAUAAGUAAUGUGAAUUGCAGAAUUCAGUGAAUCAUCGAAUCUUUGAACGCACCUUGCGCCCCUUGGUUAUUCCAAAGGGCAUGCCUGUCUGAGCGUCAUUUCAACCCUCAAGCAACUUCUGCUUGGUGUUGGGGAUCGGCCGUCAAACGCCGCCCCCGAAAUCUAUUGGCGAUCUCGCUGUAGCUUCCUAUGCGUAGUAGUAACAUCUCGCAUCUGGAGAGCGGCGCGGUCAUGCCGUAAAACACCCAACUUCUCAGGUUGACCUCAGAUCAGGUAGGAAUACCCGCUGAACUUAAGCAUAUCAAUAAGCGGAGGA
rnacentral:misc_RNA from 1 species